rnacentral:rRNA from 1 species
CAGCAGCCACGGGAAUACAGAGGGUGCAAGCGUUAAUCGGAAUUACUGGGCGUAAAGCGCGCGUAGGUGGUUUGUUAAGUCGGAUGUGAAAUCCCUGAGCUUAACUUAGGAAUUGCAUUCGAUACUGGGAAGCUAGAGUAUGGGAGAGGAUGGUAGAAUUCCAGGUGUAGCGGUGAAAUGCGUAGAGAUCUGGAGGAAUACCGAUGGCGAAGGCAGCCAUCUGGCCUAAUACUGACGCUGAGGUACGAAAGCAUGGGGAGCAAACAGGAUUAGAUACCCGAGUAGUCCCUGUCUCUUAUAC